rnacentral:lncRNA from 1 species
AAUUCAAUUUCACACGUAUUUGUUCUGAAUCUACUCACGGUCUCAGGCAUGCACAUGCACAUGUAAAUCAUUGAGGUUAGCAUGCAUCAAUCAAAUCAAGAAAAAGAUUAUUUAUAUCUAAACUUCCCUUAAUUGUAUUAUUUUACAAAAUAAAAAAAAUAUUCUAUAUAUUACCUCCUAUGAGGUAAUAGAUGAUUACAAUAAUUUGAUCAAAAUAAAUGAAUGGUUCACAUUUAUUUGUGAGUAGCAUAGCAAACCCAAGUAUGGUACGUCCGUACUAGAUAUCAACCAGC